ACUCAAAAUUAGCACUUUAAGCAAC
rnacentral:tRNA from 1 species